rnacentral:rRNA from 1 species
UACAGAGGGGGCAAGCGUUGUUCGGAAUUACUGGGCGUAAAGGGCGCGUAGGCGGCCUGUUAAGUCGAACGUGCAAUCCCCGGGCUCAACCCGGGAACUGCGUCCGAUACUGGCAGGCUUGAAUCCGGGAGAGGGAUGCGGAAUUCCAGGUGUAGCGGUGAAAUGCGUAGAUAUCUGGAGGAACACCGGUGGCGAAGGCGGCAUCCUGGACCGGCAUUGACGCUGAGGCGCGAAAGCCAGGGGAGCAAACGGG